CUCUGAGGAACUUACAAUCAAGUUAGGGCACAAAGUAACACACACAAAAGGAUAAGGCAAAACUAGUACAUGAAGAAAAUUAACUGAAUGGUACUUCCCUAUAAGAAAUGCUAAUAAGAUUCAGAGAAGGAAAGACUUGGCUUGAUAGUGAUCAGAGAAGAAAUCUCCAUCUUCAAGAGAAAGACACAACCUGAUGAAAAGGAGUCAAAAACAGAAAAGGGAAGAAUAUUUCCAGCAAGAGGAAACACUAAUGACAAGAAGGAGAGACUGAGAGGACAAGGACCCACUGGAGUUCUAGAUGGCGCAGAUGACCAGGAGAGGGCAGCUCACCACUGCAGCUGGCCUCACCUGGGCUAGGGGUUGCAUCACAGCUGCAGAUGCCAGUCACAG